AGGAGGUUCCCAGGCUAGGGGUCCAAUCGGAGCUGUAGCUGCCGGUGUCCACUACAGCCACAGCCACGCCGGAUCUGUAACCCACAGGGUGAGGCCAGGGAUUGAACCCGUGUCCUCAUGGAUACUAGUCACGUUCAUUAAUGGCUGAGCCACGACAGGAGCUCCCAAGCCGAACAUUCUUAGAGAAGGGAUUUUGAAGAUGUGAACACACGGCAUUUCCUUGGCAGGCUUUUUUUCCAUCUUUCAGGGCCAGGGCGCCCGGGACAGGCGUUUCCAGGGUCCCCGCCCCCCCGUGACGCCCAUGCCCGCUCGAGAAGAUUCCCAGCGGGCUUUCCUUGGUCAGGAGAUUUCUUUCACAGUUUUUUGUGCUGAAUGAUGAUGUUCCGAGUCAGCCUGAAACGAGCCUGCAGCUCUGUGCCCGAGGAGGCGGCCUGUUCUGGAGAAAGAAACGUGGAACUGAGGCCUGAGCCACGGCCGUCUCAGGGCGGCGUCGGGCGGAUCAGUCGUCCUCUGGGGCUCAGGUUUUCCUGCAGAAAGCGGGGAGCCUGCGGAGGAGGCAGGCUCCAGGGCUGCUCGGUGAACUUCGGGCUGGGCUGGCGUCUCCAGAAGGUCUGGGUCGGGGCUCCCCAUAGCCCACAGCAUCCCCCCCUUCGCUCGACCCACCCACCCUCCGCGAGCCUCACAGGAGCAGGAACCCGGCCUGAUGCACGACCCCAAGGCACCAGCCCCUGGACGUGGUGACCUGCCUGGGGCUGGCGGCGAGGAGGCCCCUGAUGGUCAGUUCACAUGUUCCUCUGGGGAGGUGAUGAUUAAAGCUAAUUUCUCUCUCUCUCUCUCUCUCUCUCUCUUUUUUUUUUUUUUUUUGUCUUUCCAGAACUGCAUCCGUGGCACAUGGAAGUUCCCAGGCUAGGAGUUGAAUCAGAGCUACAGCUGCCGGCCUACACCACAGCCACAGCCACACCAGAUCUGAGCCGUGUCUGUGACCUACACCACAGCUCACGGCAACCCCAGAUCCUUAACCCACUGAGCAAGACCAGGGAUCGAACUUUCGUCCUCAUGGAUGCUAGUCAGAUUCAUUUCCUCUGAGCCACGAGGGAACCUCCUAAAGCUAGUUUCUGGUUGACUUUUCCCCACAGUGAGCAGAACUUGGGCUCAGACUGUAGGGAGAGAGGAGCAGUAGAUGCAACUAAACAUCCUACGAGGUCAGCUGCCUUCACUUUUAUGGUUUGUUUUUCCUCUUUUUUUUCUUGGCCGCGCCCAUGGUGGAUGCAGACGUUCCCAGGCCAGGAAUCGAACCCCUGCCACAGCAGUGACAACAGCAGAUCCCUCACCGCUGAGUCACCAGGAAACUCCCAUGGUUAUUACAAGUAGAUUUUGAUUGCUUUUUCUCUUCCGGGGGGAAGUUGCUUAAAGAGUAAAAAUUUCAGUUUCUUGAUAGCUGUUAAAAGCAUUGAACAUUUCCAAGCAGAGUCAAGUACUUGCCGUGGCAUCGCCCAAAAUAACUAACCAGGGACGUGCUUUCCCUGCUCCUGUCACCUGGCUCAGCUCUGCACCACACAGGUUCUAUGGGCUUGAACAGGCUGUGGUGGAUUUGGUUUAGUAUCCACGAACUAGUACCCAUGAGGAUGCAGGUUCGAUCCCUGGCCUCCCUCAGGGGGUUAAGGAUCCCACGUGGCUGUGGCCGUGGUGCAGGCCAACAGCUACCGCUCUGAUUCAACCCCCAGCCUGGGAGCCUCCAUACGCCUCGGGUGUGGUUCUAAAAAGCAAAAAAGUAAAAUGAAAAAGCGUCUUCUGCUCCUUUGAGUCAGCAGAAUUCCGUCUUGCUUUCCUCUUGAGUCUGUCCUGCUGCCGUGACGCCAGCGCACAGGCAGACCUCGUUUAAUGGCGCUUCUCUUUGUCGCGUUUCACGGACGCGGCGCCUUUUGCAAGUGGAAGGUUUGCAGCCACCCUGCAUUGAUCAAGUCUGUCCGCGCUGUCUUUUCCCACAGCAUCUUCUCACUUGGUGUCUCUGUGUCCCAUUUUGGCGAUCCUCGCACCAUUUCACAUGUUUUCGUCGCUGUCAGGUUGGUUAUAGUGACCUGUGACCUGGGAUCUUUGAUGUCACUGCUGCGACUCAUUGAAGGCUCAGGUGACAGCAAGCAUUCUUUAGCAAUAAAGGGUUUUUUAAUUAAAACGUGUCCAUCUUUUAUAGACGUGGUGCUGUUUUAGUGCACAGUUAAUAGACUACGGUAUGGUGUAAACAUAACUCAUGCACUGGGGAACCCCGAAAUUCAGGUGACUUGCUCUGCUGUGACAGUCACUAUACUGCCGUGAUCUGGAACCGGCCUGCGAUGUCUCCGAGGUCUGCCUGGCCCUGGCUGGAUUGGAAAUUAGAUGUGAGGAGUUCCCUGGUGGCCUAGGAGUUCAGGACUCAGUGUUGUCACUGCUGUGGUUCAGGUUUGACCCUUGGCCUGGGAAUUUCUGCACGCCGUGGGCGCGGCCAGAAAAUCAAAUAAAACAGAACUCACAUCCAUGCUGAACAUCCAAGAGCCUUUAGGCCUAAAGCAACACUGGGGCCAGGGUCCCUUCCUCCCCGUUUCCCUGCUCACCUCUCCAGGUUGUUCACCAGGUGCCGGUCCGACAGGUCCCCGAUCUUGCCGGUGGGGAUAUCAGGGUAGGGGCCUGCCCACCACGCACCACCUCCUCGUCUGCUCUCACGCGCCCCCGGCUCCGUCAGCCAGCAUCCUGCCUGACGCCGUGCGAGCCUGGAAGAUGUUUCAUCCAGACUGAGUGCUUAGGUUUACACGCUUGCUCCGCGAACAAGCACGUGGUCUGCUAUCUCGCCAUCGUGUUCACGGCUCACAACAACCUUAGGACACAGACCCUGUUACUCUUAUUCUUCCCACUUUCCAGGUGAGAAAGCUGAUGCCUAAGAGGUUCCCAUUUUGCCCUGGAUGCACAGCUCGGGCAGAGCCAGGGUUCAGAGGGGGCUCAGCGGCCCGGGGGGCGCACGUGUUCCCCUCCACAGUGAAGCAGUGUUCCCGGUGUUCUGUGAGGUCAGGGGACGGGCAGGGCGUGGAGGGGGCAGCAGCAGUCUUGAGGUGAAGCUGUCUCUGGUGGUGGCAGAGCAGAGACCACAGGAAGCCUGGAAGCAGCCCCCUCUGGACUUUCAAGCUCCGCAGCAAAUAAAUCGCCGUCCUCCUGAAGCCAUUUUGAGCUGCUUUUUGGGCGUUUGCAGUGGAAAGUACUCUUACUGAUGCUCUGGGCAAGCUGGGUCUGGGGUCCUUCGCCCGCUGCUACCACUUCCGCUGGCUAAUUACUUACGGAUGGACUUCUUUCCUGCAGGAACAUGUUAAUGAAGUGUGAACGGCCAUUUAUCUCACGCCGCUGGGAAAUCAGACUGCGUCACUGGAUGAUUAAAAAUGCAUUCCCAUGCUUUUGUUCUCCU
rnacentral:tRNA from 1 species